rnacentral:rRNA from 1 species
AUUGAACGCUGGCGGCAUGCUUUACACAUGCAAGUCGAACGGUAACAGGCCGCAAGGUGCUGACGAGUGGCGAACGGGUGAGUAAUGCAUCGGAACGUGCCCAGUCGUGGGGGAUAACGCAGCGAAAGCUGUGCUAAUACCGCAUACGAUCUAUGGAUGAAAGCGGGGGACCGUAAGGCCUCGCGCGAUUGGAGCGGCCGAUGUCAGAUUAGGUAGUUGGUGGGGUAAAGGCCUACCAAGCCGACGAUCUGUAGCUGGUCUGAGAGGACGACCAGCCACCCUGGGACUGAGACACGGCCCAGACUCCUACGGGAGGCAGCAGUGGGGAAUGUUGGACAAUGGGCGCAAGCCUGAUCCAGCAAUGCCGCGUGCAGGAAGAAGGCCUUCGGGUUGUAAACUGCUUUUGUACGGAACGAAACGGUCUGGGUUAAUACCCUGGGCUAAUGACGGUACCGUAAGAAUAAGCACCGGCUAACUACGUGCCAGCCGCCGCCGUAACAC